UGGUUCUGGCAUCGAUGAAGAACGCAGCAAAAUGCGAUAAGUAAUGUGAAUUGCAGAAUUCAGUGAAUCAUCGAAUCUUUGAACGCACAUUGCGCCCGCCAGUAUUCUGGCGGGCAUGCCUGUUCGAGCGUCAUUUCAACCCUCAAGCCCAGCUUGGUGUUGGGACUCGCGAGUUAAACCGCGUUCCCCAAAUUGAUUGGCGGUCACGUCGAGCUUCCAUAGCGUAGUAGUAAAACCCUCGUUACUGGUAAUCGUCGCGGCCACGCCGUUAAACCCCAACUUCUGAAUGUUGACCUCGGAUCAGGUAGGAAUACCCGCUGA
rnacentral:misc_RNA from 1 species